rnacentral:rRNA from 1 species
AGUUGAUCCUGGCUCAAUUGAACGCUGGCGGCAGGCCUAACACAUGCAAGUCGAACGGUAGCACAGAGAGCUUGCUCUCGGGUGACGAGUGGCGGACGGGUGAGUAAUGUCUGGGAAACUGCCUGAUGGAGGGGGAUAACUACUGGAAACGGUAGCUAAUACCGCAUAACGUCGCAAGACCAAAGAGGGGGACCUUCGGGCCUCUUGCCAUCAGAUGUGCCCAGAUGGGAUUAGCUAGUAGGUGGGGUAACGGCUCACCUAGGCGACGAUCCCUAGCUGGUCUGAGAGGAUGACCAGCCACACUGGAACUGAGACACGGUCCAGACUCCUACGGGAGGCAGCAGUGGGGAAUAUUGCACAAUGGGCGCAAGCCUGAUGCAGCCAUGCCGCGUGUAUGAAGAAGGCCUUCGGGUUGUAAAGUACUUUCAGCGGGGAGGAAGGUGUUGCGGUUAAUAACCGCAGCAAUUGACGUUACCCGCAGAAGAAGCACCGGCUAACUCCGUGCCAGCAGCCGCGGUAAUACGGAGGGUGCAAGCGUUAAUCGGAAUUACUGGGCGUAAAGCGCACGCAGGCGGUCUGUCAAGUCGGAUGUGAAAUCCCCGGGCUCAACCUGGGAACUGCAUUCGAAACUGGCAGGCUAGAGUCUUGUAGAGGGGGGUAGAAUUCCAGGUGUAGCGGUGAAAUGCGUAGAGAUCUGGAGGAAUACCGGUGGCGAAGGCGGCCACCUGGACAAAGACUGACGCUCAGGUGCGAAAGCGUGGGGAGCAAACAGGAUUA